UGCCAGGGUGGACCGGAGACUGAGGCUGGAGACCAGGGGCCUGCAGCACCGGACCAGAGGCUGUGAGUAAGUGAAGGAGCUAAUGGAGGAGUCGUGCUGAAGGAGGUGAUGGAGGAGCCGUGCUGAUGGAGGAGCCGUGCUGAAGGCCCAGGGCUGGUGGAGGAGCCGGUGGAGGGCCUGCCUGGUGAAUGACGUCCGUCGUGGGACCAGGACUCUGUCUGAGGAGAGCUGCUGGAGGAGCUGAGACGCUGGAGGACGACUAGG